rnacentral:rRNA from 1 species
GAUGAACGCUGGCGGCGUGCUUAACACAUGCAAGUCGAACGAUGAUGCCCAGCUUGCUGGGUGGAUUAGUGGCGAACGGGUGAGUAACACGUGAGUAACCUGCCCUUGACUCUGGGAUAAGCCUGGGAAACUGGGUCUAAUACCGGAUACGACCAUCUGGCGCAUGUCAUGGUGGUGGCAGGCUUUUGUGGUUUUGGAUGGACUCGCGGCCUAUCAGCUUGUUGGUGGGGUAAUGGCCUACCAAGGCGACGACGGGUAGCCGGCCUGAGAGGGUGACCGGCCACCCUGGGACUGAGACACGGCCCAGACUGCUACGGGAGGCAGCGGUGGGGAAUAUUGCACAAUGGGCGCAAGCCUGAUGCAGAGACGCCGCGUGAGGGAUGACGGCCUUCGGGUUGUAAACCUCUUUCAGUAGGGAAGAAGCGAAAGUGACGGUACCUGCAGAAGAAGCGCCGGCUAACUACGUG